rnacentral:rRNA from 1 species
ACCAGGUCUUGACAUCCCGAUGCUAUUUCUAGAGAUAGAAAGUUACUUCGGUACAUCGGUGACAGGUGGUGCAUGGUUGUCGUCAGCUCGUGUCGUGAGAUGUUGGGUUAAGUCCCGCAACGAGCGCAACCCCUAUUGUUAGUUGCCAUCAUUCAGUUGGGCACUCUAGCGAGACUGCCGGUAAUAAACCGGAGGAAGGUGGGAUGACGUCAAAUCAUCAUGCCCCUUAUGACCUGGGCUACACACGUGCUACAAUGGUUGGUACAACGAGUUGCGAGUCGGUGACGGCGAGCUAAUCUCUUAAAGCCAAUCUCAGUUCGGAUUGUAGGCUGCAACUCGCCUACAUGAAGUCGGGAUCGCUAGUAAUCGCGGAUCAGCACGCCGCGGUGAAUACGUUCCCGGGCCUU